CGUCAAAUCAUCAUGCCCCUUAUGUCUUGGGCUACACACGUGCUACAAUGGCUCAUACAAUGUGAAGCAACCCGGCGACGGUGAGCAAACCACAAAAAAAGAGCCUCAGUUCGGAUUGCAGCCUGCAACUCGGCUGCAUGAAGUCGGAAUCGCUAGUAAUCGCGAAUCAGCAUGUCGCGGUGAAUACGUUCCCGGGCCUU
rnacentral:rRNA from 1 species